UGGGGGAAUAUUGCACAAUGGGCGAAAGCCUGAUGCAGCGACGCCGCGUGAGUGAAGAAGUAUUUCGGUAUGUAAAGCUCUAUCAGCAGGGAAGAUAAUGACGGUACCUGACUAAGAAACCCCGGCUAACUACGUGCCAGCAGCCGCGGUAAUACGUAGGGGGCGAAGCGUUAUCCGGAUUUACUGGGUGUAAAGGGAGCGUAGACGGCAUGGCAAGUCUGAAGUGAAAACCCAGGGCUCAACCCUGGGACUGCUUUGGAAACUGUCAAGCUAGAGUGCAGGAGAGGUAAGUGGAAUUCCUAGUGUAGCGGUGAAAUGCGUAGAUAUUAGGAGGAACACCAGUGGCGAAGGCGGCUUACUGGACUGUAACUGACGUUGAGGCUCGAAAGCGUGGGGAGCAAACAGGAUUAGAUACCCUGGUAGU
rnacentral:rRNA from 1 species